CUCUGCAUUUAAAAACUUUGCCAGCCCUCUCCCCUGAGACAUUUCUGUCUUAGUCUUUGAGCCUCUUUCUGUGAUAACACUCCCCUGUUCCUACUGCAGCACCCCCUUGAUGAAGUCUUUCGUGCUAACGUCCAGCUUGCAUUUUUGUUUUCUUUGACAGUAAUGGUGCCAUGACUCUGAUGGAGUGUUUGUUGAUCACCCCUCGGACCCUGCUUUUUUCACUCAAGCAUUAAGGCCGUUUUAUCAGACCCUGUGUUCUUCCCUGGCUGGGGAGAUUGGGAUCCACAGUGAUAGUUUCAUGUUUCACUCUCAUGCGUCCCAAAGAAGACUUGGAGAUCAGCUACGUGCCCGAGUGCUUUGUCUUCAGCUGAAAGGACAGUCUCAAAGACCCGCAGAGAAGGACUGGGCCAGGGUUCCCACUUUUUCGAUGCCUGACCUCACGGACACAGAAACAACUGGCCUUGGCCAGCACACGAAGCAAAGGGUCCAACCAGUCCUGUAGGGACGUCACCGAGGACUGGUUCACUCAGCAUCCCUUGUUCAAAAAAUUUCUUAUCCCUGUAUUGUUCAAGUCUUGUUGAGCCUGCCUUGAACAAGAACAGGGACUGACAAAGUGGGUUAAACCGUGCUGAGCACAACUGCAGGCAGCUCUGCAGAGCACCGCUAGGCCCUCGGCUCCGUGUGAACGUUCUGCACUCGGGCAUGUUUGCUCCACGUCACAUGCAGAAUAGCAACGCCAUGUGCCUGAUCACACCAACUCUGCCGCCUCAACUUUUCUCUUAGUGCAAUAUUUGGUGCAGUCAAGCUGAAAGGCUGCGCCCACACACCACCUUCAAGCAUUGCAACUCUCUUCCACCUUCCACACUUACCUAGCCCAGGUCUCCGCGUAGAAAAGCUAUCCUUGCCCGCACCUUGCUUGAAACUUCUCUGGCUUAGGCUUUGAGCAUCUCCCUGAGGCAAAACUCUUGCUUAAUAAUGUCUUUCUUUACUCAAGUCUGGAUUUACCUUGUCUUUCUUGACAAUAUAAAAGAUAUCAUUUAGGAUAUGAUUUUUGGAAGGUAAAAUAUAAAAAGUUGUCAAGAAGUUUGAACACUCGACUCAGUAGGAUCAUGGAUUGCCGAGAAUCAGUACUUGGUUAUCUAUUUAACCAAAAUGGUAAUACAAAUUUUAAAAAGGUAGAUGGUAACAUGAUUAUAAAGAACUUUAGCUCUUUUAAGUGGAAAACUUUAUUCUUUUAAACUAUCAAGGAUCUGAUAAAGUCCACACAAAAUGUAGGAAAAUAUUUCGCUAAGACACUGAAUAGUUGUUGUCUAGGUAGAUUACUCAAAAGGUAAAAAAAAAUCUUUUACAAGCUCUUAUUAAGAAACCAAUCAUCAGAGGGGAAAAAAAGUCAUUUUUAAGAGAGAAAAUCAAAUUCUAGUUUUGAAAUUACAACUCCUAUUUUAAAUCAUAUAAGUAAACUCAUCAAACCUAAACCAGGUUUGACUAUGAGAACUAAAAGUUUUUUUUCCAUGAACCAUCCGCAACUUUCUCCACCCAGGAAGGUUCUUUGAAGAUGACUUUCUCUUUCUCAUCCGGAAAAUCUAGUCGUUUUACUUCAGAACAAACCUACUCUCGUCUUUGAUGAGACACCUGCAUGCUUAGCACGCCAAGUGUGUUCUCUCUGCCCCUCUCACUCCUAUGAGUCUGACCCACAUCUAUCAGUUGUAAUUUUAUAACUACUGUAACCUCAAUUGCACAGGGAAAACCAGGAGGUGGUAUAAAAAAACAGCUAUACAAUGAACACUGCUUGAAAUGCCAAGACUGAGCUUAUUGAGCUACUGCGGAAGGGAAAAGAGCCUUCAGUAAAGCACUGAGCUCAGUUUCCAAUACGGCAAAGACAGCUGGUCACCCACAGCCAAGGAACAGCGCAAGGGGUCAGUGGGUGGAAAAUAACUAAGAGGAACUUGAUUAGCUAUCAAGGGUGCAGGAAUUCUUGCUAAACUGGCUUAGCAGAAUUUUUACAGGCCAAGGUCUUAGAUAUUCAAGGCAGGAACUUGAUCAGAUAUUGGGGGAGGGGGUGGUGUUUCUUAAGAUUCUUGGCUAAAACUGGGUUAGCAGCCUAAGGCCGAGGCCCCAUCUACAGGCUCGUAAGAGCCUGACUAAAGUUUGGGCAAGGAGGGAGUCUCUGUCAGUAGAAAAUUGUAAACUAUCUUCAUACGUCCACCUUUGCCAGCAGAGUUGAUAAAUAUAUAUCUCAUGACUUUCCAUGGCCAUAAAUAUCCCUUACAGUAUAACUUCUUACUGUGGCAGGAAUAAACAUGUCCCUUAACAGACCCAAAUAUACAGCCUCUCUGUAUUAAGGAAAAGUAGGAAGUGAAAAGUGUGAAAAAAUGAAAUGAUUUUUAGUAAUUAAUGCUUCAGUAUUUUAGCUUAUUUAGGUAUGUUCUAGAUAUCUGACAAAUUAACUCAAUUUAGCAUCAGACCAAGCUUUUAAAUUAAGAGGAUUUUGGAAACUAUCUUCAAGUGACAUACUAUAAAACAUAGUUACUUUUUUUGCCCUGGCCAGUUUACUCAGUGGUUAGAGCAUCAGCCCUCAGACCAAAGGGUCACGUGUUCGAUUCUCAGUCAAGAGCAUGUACCUG